CCAUCGCUGCGGUAAGGCGGCUGCCGGAGUGCCGGGUUCCUGACAGGCGGGGGCAGGGGUGGUCCUUGCCGGGCUCUUCCCUUCACAUCUUGCCCUCUCGGAGCCUGGCGGUGCUUCGCGGAGUCAACACAGGGGGAUAGAGCACCUUUCCCUCACAAAAACCCAGGGCGGAGCCUUCCCCUCCGCCCUGCAUCCUGUCGUGAGGCACAAGCGGUCCCGCUCCCUCCCUUCCCCGAGGCCCCUCGCUCUCAGGGCUGACUUAUCUCUCUGUACCCCCCGCAGUGUGGAGAGACGAAGGCAGCGGGAAGCGUCCCAUGGCACCGGCAAGGCCGUCAGAUGGCCCCGAAGGCUUUGUCCGCUGCGCGGCCGCGCCCGGCGUGAGCAGCUGGCACGGGGUAGUAGGCCUUGCCAGCGGGGACCGCUGGGGAGCUGGAGUCGUGACUUUGACCGUCCGUAGAGGCCACACUUAGCAAUUUCAUGUUUGAAAUGUUCUAAAUGUGGAUGAUCAAACCCAAACUGGAAGCAAUGCUCAGGACUUCUUAGGAAUAUAUACCUUCUGCUAGAAAGGAGGAAACCAGCAUGUGCAAGGGACUUGAACUUAUAUUAGACAUCUUAUGGUUUCAAUGAGUGGCCAGUUUCUGAACUCAUACUACACGGCUCCAGUUGUCACCUGCAAUGUAUUGUCUUGAACGUGGAAUUGAGACAAGCAGUUGCUAAAACUAUGUCCCUUCAACGGUCAUGUUUAAACAGGAACCUCACCAUUUGUUGAAAUAGGUUUCUUACCAAAAACUCAUGUAACUUAACGUCUGUGUGGAUUAAUU